rnacentral:rRNA from 1 species
AUACGGAGGAUCCGAGCGUUAUCCGGAUUUAUUGGGUUUAAAGGGAGCGUAGGCGGAUUAUUAAGUCAGUUGUGAAAGUUUGCGGCUCAACCGUAAAAUUGCGGUUGAUACUGGUAGUCUUGAGUGCAGCAGAGGUAGGCGGAAUUCGUGGUGUAGCGGUGAAAUGCUUAGAUAUCACGAAGAACUCCGAUUGCGAAGGCAGCUUACUGGACUGUAACUGACGCUGAUGCUCGAAAGUGUGGGUAUCAAACAGGAUUAGAUACCCUGGUAGUCCACACAGUAAACGAUGAAUACUUGUUUUCGGCGAUAUAAUGUCGGAGGCAAAGCGAAAGCGAUAAGUAUUCCACCUGGGGAGUACGCCGGCAACGGUGAAACUCAAAGGAAUUGACGGGG